rnacentral:rRNA from 1 species
UACGAAGGGGGCUAGCGUUGCUCGGAAUCACUGGGCGUAAAGCGCACGUAGGCGGCUUUUUAAGUCAGAGGUGAAAUCCUGGAGCUCAACUCCAGAACUGCCUUUGAUACUGGCGAUCUCGAGUCCGGGAGAGGUGAGUGGAACUGCGAGUGUAGAGGUGAAAUUCGUAGAUAUUCGCAAGAACACCAGUGGCGAAGGCGGCUCACUGGCCCGGUACUGACGCUGAGGUGCGAAAGCGUGGGGAGCAAACAGG